AGAGUUUGAUUCAUGGCUCAGAGCGAACGCUAGCGGCGCGCCUAACACAUGCAAGUCGAGCGAGAAAGUGGGGGCAACUCCAUGAGUAAAGCGGCGAACGGGUGAGUAACACGUGGGUAAUCUACCCUUAAGACCGGGAUAACCUUCCGAAAGGAGGCCUAAUACCGGAUAAGACCACAGGACUUUGGUUCAGUGGUUGAAGAUGGGGAUUCUUCGGAAUCUAUCGCUUAUGGAUGAGCCCGCGUCCCAUCAGCUUGUUGGUAGGGUAACGGCCUACCAAGGCUAAGACGGGUAGCUGGUCUGAGAGGACGAUCAGCCACACUGGCACUGAAACACGGGCCAGACUCCUACGGGAGGCAGCAGUGGGGAAUCUUGCGCAAUGGGCGAAAGCCUGACGCAGCGACGCCGCGUGAGGGAAGAAGGUUUUCGGAUCGUAAACCUCUGUCGGGGGGGAAGAAAAAUCUGGUGGCUAAUAUCCAUCAGAAUUGACGGUACCCCCAAAGGAAGCAUCGGCUAACUACGUGCCAGCAGCCGCGGUAAUACGUAGGAUGCAAGCGUUGCUCGGAAUUAUUGGGCGUAAAGGGCGCGUAGGUGGCCUGGUAAGUCAUAGGUGAAAGCCCUCGGCUUAACUGAGGAAUUGCCCAUGAUACUGUCGGGCUUGAGUACGGGAGAGGGGGGGUGGAAUUCCUGGUGUAGCGGUGAAAUGCGUAGAUAUCAGGAAGAACAUCUGUGGCGAAGGCGACCCCCUGGACCGAUACUGACACUGAGGCGCGAAAGCGUGGGGAGCAAACAGGAUUAGAUACCCUGGUAGUCCACGCCCUAAACGAU
rnacentral:rRNA from 1 species